rnacentral:lncRNA from 1 species
UCACCAGGCCCGUGGGGGAGCCGGCCUGCACCGGCCCUUCGAGGGCUGGUGUGGAGAGGAGGUGGUCGUGGUGACCCGGGUCAAGACCAAGACUUGGGUGCGGGAGCGGGGGGAGGGGUGCAUGGGUUCCUGCCCUGUUCCCUCCCCCAGGCCUCUCCUCAUCCCUUUGGCCAGGAGCCUGAUUUCACUGUCAGAACCGAAUCCCCCUCCCUUUACCUACAGCAGCGCCAGUGGGUGGGGGGAGGAGCACAGCCGGGCGUCCAACCCCAGGCCCCAGGCAUCCCCCCAGCCCUCCCCUCCACCACCUCUGCUUUUGUCUGUCCUUCCUCCAAGAGCUCCGACCUGCUGCCCUUUUACUGCAGAAGCCCAGGCCGCCCCCCCACCCCCAGAGAAGCCCUCCCACACAAGCCCGGGACCCCUAAAGCCCGGCUGAAGCACGCAGCUCCCUCCCUUAAGCAGGGCAGUCCCGCCGCCAUCCAUCCCUUCAGUUCAGAGGCACCCCGGCUGCUGCACUGUCUGCACACAGGCAUUUUUCAGGGAUUCCCCUCUUCACAGCACGGAGGGAGCCCCAGCACUUGUCCAGGCUUCCGUGAAGCUCCCCAGCCCCUCUCCUGGGGCUCUGUUCCGCCGGCCUCCUCCCCAGCCAAGGCCCCCAACCCUCUUGGCCGGUCCAGGGCUCUAAGAAGAAGGGUUCCGAGUCCCAGUGAGCCUGUCCUCUGCCCCUCCCACGGACACGCUGGCAGGGAGGGGCCAGCGCUGGGACCAGAUGUGGGGCUUCUCCUCGCGAGGGGCCUGGAGCGGGGCCUGGGUGCGGCGCGCGGCGGGCAGCGGGGCCACGUGCGCGCUUUCGCCAAGGGAAGCGGGCCGCAGUCCUGGGCGCCCGCCGGGCCCGUCCGCCUCCGCGGCUCUACCGUUGGCGGCCACGGGGGCUCCCGGCCGGGCCUCCAUUUGGGUCAGGCCCCCCCAGCCCGCCUCGCAGGGGUCUCCGCGGGUAGCCGGCCCGGCCCCUCCUUUGAUGUUCCGCUCCGAAGCUGCUGGCGGGGAGGGGAGGGGGCGCGGCCUCUCCUUCCGCCCUUUGGACUGCGCACGACGGUGACACCUGAGACCCCGCUCCACCCCCUUCCCGGGGCACCCAGUCUCCCUCCAACCUGGGUGGCAGCGUGGCGCGCCGGGGCUCCGCGCCUCGGUCCCCGCCUCCCCUCCCCGCCGCCGGCUGCGAUCCCCUGGGGGUCCGGGGAGCCCGGAGACGGAGAAACCGCCUUAAUAAAGAGCUCGUGUCAAGUGAUUGGCUGUGACCUCUGCCCUCCCCAGACUCGCGCCAGCGGCUCCUGCUUAACCCUUCGAUGCCCGCCCAACCCCUGA